UACGAAGGGGGCUAGCGUUGUUCGGAAUUACUGGGCGUAAAGCGCACGUAGGCGGAUUGUUAAGUGAGGGGUGAAUCCCGGGGCUCGACCCCGGAACUGCCUUUCAUACUGGCAAUCUUGAGUCCGAGAGAGGUGAGUGGAAUUCCGAGUGUAGAGGUGAAAUUCGUAGAUAUUCGGAGGUACACCAGUGGCGAAGGCGGCUCACUGGCUCGGUACUGACGCUGAGGUGCGAAAGCGUGGGGAGCAAACAGG
rnacentral:rRNA from 1 species